CUGGGAGAGAAGAGGGAAGCGGCCGAGAACGCCGCUGGGAACCGAACGGCGGGGCGCGCAGCAGCCGGUGAUCACGUGGCACGUGGCGCGCGGACUUCUGGGAGAUGUAGUCCUUCGGGCAUCCCAGCUGACCAGACCCAACAGAACGCAGAGGCCAUGGAAAGUCUGUUGUUGGGAAUCCAGGCAGCUUUCUAGGGCAGCAAAAUAGGUGAAAGGAGCAGGGAUUUGGAGAGGCAAGUGGAAGGCAUGUGGCAUACUCAUCAUGAUAUAAAUACAGAUCAAUGACUUAACCAAUAUU